UACGUAGGGGGCAAGCGUUGUCCGGAAUCAUUGGGCGUAAAGCGCGCGUAGGCGGCUCGAUCAGUCUGCUGUAAAAGUCAAAGGCUCAACCUUUGAAUGCCGGUGGAUACUGUCGGGCUAGAGUCCGGAAGAGGCGAGUGGAAUUCCUGGUGUAGCGGUGGAAUGCGCAGAUAUCGGGAAGAACACCCGUGGCUAAGGCGGCUCUCUAGUACGGUACUGACGCUGAGACGCGAAAGCGUGGGGAGCGAACAGG
rnacentral:rRNA from 1 species